CCUACGGGUGGCAGCAGUGGGGAAUAUUGGGCAAUGGACGCAAGCCUGACGCAGCAACGCCGCGUGAAGGAAGAAGGCUUUCGGGUCGUAAACCUCUGUCAAGGGGGAAGAGCAGAAGACGGUACCCCUUGAAUAAGCCACGGCUAACUACGUGCCAGCAGCCGGGGUAAUACGUAGGUGGCAGGCGUUGUCCGGAUUUACGGGGUGUAAAGGGCGUGCAGCCGGAGAGACAAGUCAGAUGUGAAAUCCACGGGCUCAACCCGUGAACUGCAUUUGAAACUGGUUCCCUGGAGUGUCGGAGAGGUAAUCGGAAUUCCUGGUGUAGCGGUGAAAUGCGUAGAUAUUAGGAAGAACACCAGUGGCGAAGGCGGAUUACUGGACGAUAACUGACGGUGAGGCGCGAAAGCGUGGGGAGCAAACAGGAUUAGAUACCCCAGUAGUC
rnacentral:rRNA from 1 species